rnacentral:rRNA from 1 species
UAAAAAUGUAAGUUUUCCAAAUUAUUAUUAGUUAUGAUCUUAAAAAUUAAAGAUUUUGGCGGUAUUUUAGUCUUUUCAGAGGAACCUGUUCUUUAAUCGAUAUUCCACGAUUAAUUUAACUUAAGUUAUUAGCUUGUAUAUCGUCGUAGUUGAAUAUUUUAAAAGAAUUUAAAUAUUCAAGAUUUUUUAUUAAAAAAUAAAUCAGAUCAAGGUGCAGUUUAUAUUUAAGUAGAAAUGGGUUACAAUAAAUUUAUUUAUAGUUUAGUUAAUUAAAAUUAAUUAAUAAAUUGGAUUUGAAAGUAAUUUAUUUUAUUUUAAAUAAAUGAUUUUAGCUCUAAAAUAUGU